GCCGGGCGCGGUGGCCCAUGCCUGUAUUCCCAGCUACUCGGGAGGCUGAGGCGGGAGGAUCGCGUGAGCCCAGGAGUUCUGGGCUGUAGUGCGCUAUGCCGAUCGGAUGUCCGCACUAAAUUCAGCAUCAAUAUGGUGACCUCCCGGGAGCGGGGGACCACCAGGUUGCCUAAGGAGGGGUGAACUGGCCCAGGUCGGAAACGGAGCAGGUCAAAACUCCCGUGCUGAUCAGUAGUGGGAUUGUGCCUGUGAAUAGCCACUGCACUCCAGCCUGGGCAACAUAGCAAGACCCUGUCUCU
rnacentral:SRP_RNA from 1 species